rnacentral:rRNA from 1 species
AGCGCCUGAUUCUAUUGCAGGCCUACCAUCGAAAGGGAAUCCGGUUAAUAUUCCGGAACCUGGAUAUGGAUUCUUCACGGCAACGUAACUGAAUGUGGAGACGUCGGCGUGAGCCCUGGGAGGAGUUAUCUGUUCUUCUUAACAGCUUAUCACCCUGGAAUUGGUUUAUCCGGAGAUGGGGUUUUAUGGCUGGAUGAGGCCAGCACCUUUGCUGGCUCCGGUG